rnacentral:misc_RNA from 1 species
UACGCCAUUCGAACAUUGUUCGGUGUUGGGGCACUAGAUUCUAGGCCCUCAAAACCAUUGCGCGGUCCCAGGACCAGUAGCUGAGCACAGUAAACUUUACUGCUUCAGUUGCCCCUUGACCCAGCCGUAAAACCCCCAACAAGGUCUUUGACCGACUAU